GAACGCUGGCGGCAGGCCUAACACAUGCAAGUCGAACGGUAACAGGAAGAAGCUUGCUCUUGCUGACGAGUGGCGGACGGGUGAGUAAUGUCUGGGAAACUGCCUGAUGGAGGGGGGAUAACUACUGGAAACGGUAGCUAAUACCGCAUAACGUCGCAAGACCAAAGAGGGGGACCUUCGGGCCUCUUGCCAUCGGAUGUGCCCAGAUGGGAUUAGCUUGUUGGUGGGGUAACGGCUCACCAAGGCGACGAUCCCUAGCUGGUCUGAGAGGAUGACCAGCCACACUGGAACUGAGACACGGUCCAGACUCCUACGGGAGGCAGCAGUGGGGAAUAUUGCACAAUGGGCGCAAGCCUGAUGCAGCCAUGCCGCGUGUAUGAAGAAGGCCUUCGGGUUGUAAAGUACUUUCAGCGGGGAGGAAGGGAGUAAAGUUAAUACCUUUGCUCAUUGACGUUACCCGCAGAAGAAGCACCGGCUAACUCCGUGCCAGCAGCCGC
rnacentral:rRNA from 1 species